rnacentral:lncRNA from 1 species
GUUCCUCUGUUCUUCUUAUAUAGCUAUCAAGAUGUGUAAUAUUAGGAUAAACUAUUUAAGACAUACUACCUAACUUCUACUCCUACAAAAUUGAAUUGAAGCAUCAAUCUUAGCUAGCAAAUUUAACAUCAUGAGUUUCUACCAAUUAACUCCGACACAUCAAGGGACUAAUAAUUAAAUACUAAAUAAGGUCAUUCAAGUGUUGCUUUUAUAGAUCACCUUGGAAUAUCCUUAACAAAAAGCCAACGUAUCUAGUUAUACGCCAAUAUCCAAGAACCAGGGAGGCACAACAUUUCCCAAGAUACUAAUAUCCAAGAACUGCAGAUCAAACAGAAUACGACAAUCAUUUCCAGCACUGCAGCAACAAGGCCAUUUUGUAUAUUCGCUACUAAUUGGUAAUCAACUAAUCUUCUCGUGUACAUUAAAAUUUCCAACAAUGAGAAUUUUCUCUCUCCAUUCCAAGAACUUGAAACCAUAAUCUUGUUACAUCAGCUGAUCCCUGAAUAUCCAAAACUUCCUUCUUAAGAACCACCUUUUGAUAUCAUAAAGAUAUUUCAAUUAUCAUAUUUAGGCCCAUCUCUCAAGUCUAUAAUCAGAACUUGAAAGAGUAAUCAUUUUAUGAGAAAGUAAACUCACUCUUAACCAUUUUAAUCUCCAAAAAACUGACAAUCGUAAUUCCUAAUAUCAGAAUAUGGAGUCCAUAACGUUCAUCAACA